UCUCCGCAAAGUUCCUCUGCGGUGGGACUUAAGGAUCUGGGUCCAGAAAGCGCACCCUCCAGGUCUAGUUUUUGGGUACAGCUGUGCCCACAGCCUGGCCUGGCCUGACCCUCACAGUUGCCCCACAGACUAAAUAACAGGACACCCAAAAUCUAGCUGCUCAAGUUUGCAUUGCAUUCCUAUUUUCCCUUCCUUCCAAUAUAGGUAGGAAAGCCUUACUGGUUAAUAACGAUAAUGAUAAUUUUAUUAUUUAUAUCCUGCCUAUCUGACUGGCUUGCCCCAGUCUCUCUGGGUGGCUUCAAACAUAUAUAAAGACAUAAUAAAACAUCAAACACCAAAAACUUCCCAAUGCAGGGCUGCCUUCAGAUUUUCUUCUAAAGGUUAUAUAGUUACUCAUCUCCUUGACACCCGAUGGGAGGGCGUUCCACAGGGUGGGUGCCACUACCGAGAAGGCCCUCUGUAAAUAAUUAUUGCGCCUUUUCCUCCAAGGAGUUCCAGGCAGCGUAUAUGGCUCUGCUCCUCAUUAAUCCCCACACCAACCCCCUUGCGAGGCAGAUCAGGCUGAGACGCAGGGGCUGGCCCCUCAAGGUCACCCAGGGAGCUUCCGGGCUGAGUGGGGAUUUGAACCCCGGUCACUGAGGUCAUAGUCUGACACUCUGACCACUACACCACCCUGCCUUUACGAUCAGCCCUGGUCGCCAACCUUUUUGGGACUGGUGGGCACAUUUUGAAUGUUGAGAAAGUGCUGUGGGCUUCCACGGGGAGCGUGGUGUGGCAUAAUGCAAAA